rnacentral:rRNA from 1 species
UACGGAGGGGCGGAGCGUUGCUCGGAGUUACUUGGGUGUAAAGGGACGACGUAGGCGGUCUUGUAAGCCCUCGCCUGAAAGGACUCUGGCUCAACCAGAGUAGGCGGUAGGGGACGUGCAGGACUUGAGGAUGGGAGAGGCAAGCGGAAUUCCCGGUGUAAGGGUGAAAUCUGUAGAUAUCGGGAGGAACACCAGUGGCGAAGGCGGCUUGCUGGCCCAUUUCUGACGCUGAGGUGCGAAAGCU